UGGGGAAUAUUGCACAAUGGGCGCAAGCCUGAUGCAGCCAUGCCGCGUGUAUGAAGAAGGCCUUCGGGUUGUAAAGUACUUUCAGCGGGGAGGAAGGGAGUAAAGUUAAUACCUUUGCUCAUUGACGUUACCCGCAGAAGAAGCACCGGCUAACUCCGUGCCAGCAGCCGCGGUAAUACGGAGGGUGCAAGCGUUAAUCGGAAUUACUGGGCGUAAAGCGCACGCAGGCGGUUGAUUGAGUCAGAUGUGAAAUCCCCGGGCUUAACCCGGGAAUUGCAUCUGAUACUGGUCAGCUAGAGUCUUGUAGAGGGGGGUAGAAUUCCAUGUGUAGCGGUGAAAUGCGUAGAGAUGUGGAGGAAUACCGGUGGCGAAGGCGGCCCCCUGGACAAAGACUGACGCUCAGGUGCGAAAGCGUGGGGAGCAAACAG
rnacentral:rRNA from 1 species